UGCAAGUUACAUCAAAUUCUAA
rnacentral:siRNA from 1 species